rnacentral:misc_RNA from 1 species
GAUGAAGAACGUAGCGAAAUGCGAUAAGUAAUGUGAAUUGCAGAAUUCAGUGAAUCAUCGAAUCUUUGAACGCACAUUGCGCCCGCCAGCAUUCUGGCGGGCAUGCCUGUUCGAGCGUCAUUUCAACCCUCGCAGCCCAUCUGGGCAGCGGUGUUGGGGACCGGCACCACCGGCGAAGCCCUUAGGGGCCCAGCCGGCGCCGCCCCCGAAAUACAGUGGCGGUCUCGCUGCAGCCUCCCUUGCGUAGUAGCACACCUCGCACCGGAGCGCAGCGCGGCCACGCCGUAAAACCCCCGACUUUCUGAGUUUGACCUCGAAUCAGGUAGGAAUACCCGCUGAACUUAAGCAUAUCAAUAAGCGGAGGA